GUUCUGACUUCUGGGCAUUAACGGCUUCUGGAGGCCAGCCACUCGGUCCACUUAGAGGGAUAACAAACGUCCAUUAACUGUCAAUAAAGAGGAAAGAGAAAAGAACAGAAAAGGGAGGAUGACCAGUGUAAGACACAUUCUGAAGGAGCGACUGAGAGGAGUCUUGUGGACCUCUGAUUUCUUCUCUAUAAAUGUAAGAUCUCUAAGGCUGCAUGCAGUUAAAUAUGCACCCCAUCCCGUUACAUAUGCAGAACUAUUGCCAUUGGGAGCGAUGAAAACGAUUUCCGCUGUGAUUAAGUUCUAUGUUGGGCAUGAUGUCCAGCAGCGGCGAGGAAAAGGCACGCACAGCCAUGGGCCGUGACUGGCCUAGCAAAUCAGAGCAUGGCUUCCUGGCUGACCCUGUGAUGGCUUCAGGACUCUGUAAGUGCCCCACGCCCGGCCAAUGGGACCCAGCCCCAGAUUUUGCUGAAACCAUUGGGAAAGACAACCCUCUUUUUGAAGUCGCUGCACCUCCAGCUGAACAAAACCCGGAGUCAUGUUUGCCAUCCCAAAGAAAGCCUGGCUGAAAAUGAAGCCAGCGUCAAAGAAAAUAGAACCAAGAGUUUGAAAGACAAAGACUUGUCUGACGACAGGGUUUGGGGCCCUGAAUCACUCACACCCAGACUUUUCCAACACGAGAGCCACCCUUCCUCAUUCUCUCUCCUACCUAGGCCAUUAGCCCGUGGUUGGAGGUUUUCAACAAAUGUUGACUAAUUUGUUUGCUAAUGAAAUAAAAAUCCUUAGUCACAGGUCACAAGGCAAGGAGGUUGUUCAAAUUCAUCAUUGCAGUGUUUUGGCUAUUCAUUCAAAAAUACAUAACACGUACACAUAUGGAAUCAUGAAGUUUUUUAAUUCAAUCAGCAGAGCAACCAAAAACAUUAAAAUUAGGCACUAUCCAUAAAUUAUUCUUCUUCUUUGUACAAUUCACCAAAUAACUUCCUUACUUGUUACCAAAAACCGUGCAGCUUGAAGGAUGAGUCAUAGUCCGAUUGUCUGACUCUAGCUUAAAAUCUCAGAGCUCAGAGCUCUCUACUCUAUUGUUCCUUACUAUUUGUGAGAUCCGGAAACCGUCACUUACCCUCAGCUCCUGCCUCUGUAAGAAUCGGCUAGAAUAAGGUGUUCAUUAACCAGGUAGAUUUGAGGUUUUCCUCUUGUUCAUAUAGAUUUUUGAAAAUUAAAAGGAUGGCUUCAAGUGAAGAAUUCUUUAUUCUUUUAACAUGCUGCCAUCAUGUGGUUGCUGUGUUCAUUCACAUUCAAAUAUUUCAAAGAUAACAAUGUUUAUAGUGACCCCUCAUUCAGCAAAGUGCAAAGGAAGAAGCCCCAGAAGAAAAUGAAAGGGAAUCGAAUACCUUCUUCCCAGAAGCUUAGUCCAGAGUAUGGGAGAAAAUAUGUAUAAUUUGCCAAAGUUGUGAAAUAUAUGUGUAAUUUGCCAAAAUGCAAAAUGGAAUGUGGUAGGAACCUGAAAAGACAGAGACUAAGUGCAAAGGAGACCCAGGGAGAGUCAGCCAUCUUAGACUCCAGUCUCUUUUUAAAAUCUUAAGGCUGUAAUUUUU